GUUUGGCCAAGCGCCCGCCGGACAUGGUACGCCGAAGGGUCAUCGGCGUGGAGUCCUCGCUUUCAGCGUCCGCGGCUGGGAAAUCGGCCAUCGCUACGGCGGGAACUGGGACUCGGGCUGCGUCCCGGCCCUUCCACAUCGGUCCACCGCACUCGUGGGCGCCCGCAUUGGUGCUGACAUAAUUUCCUGACCUCUGACCCGUAUUGUCUCGCGAUUAAAGGUCCAGAUUUGGAACAAAUCUCUCUAGAGAUUGAACAGAGCUGCGCCUGGAUCCCUCAGCAGUGAGGAGACCUGAAGACCAGAGGAAACACAGCAAUAGAGAUGAAGUUUCACCAUGUUGGCCAGGCUGGUCACAAACCAGCCAGCCUCAGCUGAUCUGCCAGCCUCAGCCCCCCAAAAUGCUGGAAUUACAGGUGUGUACCACCAUUCCCAGCAUUUAGUUAACGUUUUUUGUAGGUGCUUUGAGCUAUAAAUCAAUGUAAAUUUUUAAACAUAUAUAUAACAAGUUCUUCUAGCAUUGUUUGUUAAAAAGAUUACCUCUUCUUUAAUAAAUUUCCUUUGCACCACUGUCACAAAUCAGUUGUCCAUGUAUGUGUGUUUCUCAACUCUCUAUUUUAUUCCAUGAAUACCACACAGUCUUGAUUACUGUAGCUUUAUAAUAAGUCUUAAAUUCAGGUAACAUAUGUUCUCCAACUUUUUCUUUUUUUUUUUUUGAGUCGGAGUCUCCCUCUGUCAUCCAGACUAGAGUGCAAUGGCGUGAUCUCGGCUCACUUCAACCUCCGACUCCCAGGUUCAAGCAAUUCUCCCUGCCUCAGCUUCCCAAGUAGCUGGAAUUUCAGGUGCCUGCCAGCAGACCUGGCUAUUUUUGUAUUUUUUAGUAGAGAUGGGUUUUGCCAUGUUGGCUGGUCUUGAACUCCUGACCUCAGGUGAUCUGUCCACCGCAGCCUACCAAAGUGCUGGGAUUACAGGCAUGAGCCAUCGCGCCCAGCCUAUUUUCCAACUUUCAGAAUUAUUUUUAAAAGUUGUUUUCACUAAUCUAGGUCCUUUGCAUGUCCAUAUGUAUUUUAGAAUUGAGUUCCCAAUUUCUACAAAACAAAAAGCCUCCUGAAUAUUCAAAAUGGGAUUUCACUGAAUCUAUAGGUCAGGUUGGAAAGAAUUGACAUAUUAAUGGUAUUGAGUCUUGUAGUCUCUGAACAUAGUAUAUCUCUAUUUAGGUCUUUUUUAAAGUUCUCCCAGAAGUGUUUUUAAUUUUUAUACUAUACAUCUUGCACUUCUUUUGCCAGAUGCAUCACUAUGUAUUUCAUAUUGUUUAUGGUGUUAUAAAUGGCAUUUAAGGUUUUAAGGUUCAGAUUGUUCAUGGCUAGUUCAUGCAAAAUCAUCUGCUUUAUAUAUAUUGAUCUUUAUUUUGCAGUCUCACUAAGCUCAUUUAGUUCUAAUAGUGUUGUAGAUACCUUCAGAUUUUUUUUAUAUAGAC
rnacentral:lncRNA from 1 species